GUCAUUUAACAGACUUAACCUUUACUGAGAAUGUUGUUCAUGUUCGGGCUCGCUACAUGCACAUGUAUUUUUGUAUUUUAAAAUACAAAAGGCGUGUAUUUUAAGUCAAUACAUUGAUCUUUAUGGUAUUUUGUGCUUGUAUUUUGUAAUUGCGUUUUCUAAUUUUUGCCCAUCCCUAGGGGCAGGCAUUAGAUUAGGUUUACCAGCGUUUUCAAGUACAACAUUAAUAAAGGUGGUUUUGGGAAACCGCUCGGAGAUUUAACGAUGCUCCUACAAAGGUUCUAACGAUGAAUUUAGCCUUAAAUUAAGAUGCUUUUGGCAAACCGGGAUCUGGAGUGUGAAUUCAUUGCGCUUUGUGGCACAAAAGGGAAGGGGAAAAGGACGGGAAAAAGGGAAGAAGAAUUGCCUACCAACGAACGCUACAGCCAUUAAAACCUCACCACUAUUCCACUACUUGGUCCUAUCUGAUCCUACACAAGGCGGGCAGCCUGGGAGGACAGGACACUAUCGUUCAACACACCUUACCCGCCCAUCACACGGUAGUUUGGGUGACGUGAUACCCAUGUCCUGCACACGCUCACCUGUAGAAUUUUGUGCCCACCUGUACAAAGUCAAAUUACCGGCUCGGUAGGCGAAGGUCAAGUCAUGUGUUCUCCGAAACAUGACCCACUAAACCACCAUUCAACUGAAGGCCAAGGUCAGCCUGCAGGUGCCCGGCCCGCCACAAGGAAUUGCUAGAGCGCGAUGAGCCAAGUAAAGCCCCCCCAGCCAAACCCUACCCUCACCCGGACGACGCUUGGCCAAUUGUGCGCCGCCCUAUGGGACUCCCGAUCAUGGCCAGUUGUGAUACAGCCCGGGAUCGAACCCUGGUCUGUAGUGACGCCUCUAGCACCGCGUUACAGUGACUUAGAACCACUGAGGAGGCCCCGAGGCCCUGAGUUUAUGGUUUUAUAAAAUCAUUGAUGCAUUAAUGCAUGUAGGUGCAACUUUUUAAGAAACAUUGACAUAACAGAGACACAAUGGUAAUUAUGAGAACCAUUCAGUUUAUUCUGGAAAUGGUAUUGCUUCUCUAAAAUAGGAUGGUUGCCUUUCUUGUCUUGCUGCCUUUUUUUGGUUACUUAAUUAUCCAAACUCAAUAUUUAAAGGCCAUUUGACAUUCAUACAAUAUCACAUAAAAAAGCCUGUAUUAACAAUAUGUACAUUUGUACAUAAUGAAAAUAUUAUGAAAUCCUCUGAU